rnacentral:pre_miRNA from 1 species
ACCAUACUCCCUCCGUCCCAAAAUAAGUGACUCAACUUUGUACUACUUUGGCAAAGUUAGUGCAAAGUUGAGUCACUUAUUUUGGGACGGAGGGAGUAUAAU